rnacentral:rRNA from 1 species
UCUUCCCUGCCGGGUUUUGAUAAUAUCAGGACUUCGGAGAGCGGAGAGAAGGGUGAGAGCUGGACGCGACGUUUUGCUGGUUGGAGUGCUUCUGAACCCCGCCCAUGCCUUUCGCAAGAAAGGAAGGGAUUUUUCAAUUCAUCGGCCUCAGAUUGGUAGGACUACCCGCUGAACUUAAGCAUAUCAAUAAGCGGAGGAAAAGAAACUAACAAGGAUUCCCCUAGUAACGGCGAGUGAAGAGGGAAGAGCCCAAGAUUGAAAGCUGGCGUCUUCGGCGUCCGCAUUGUAAUCUCAAGAAGUGUUUUCCGCUUCGGACCAUGCCUAAGUCCCUUGGAAAAGGGCAUCAUAGAGGGUGAUAAUCCCGUACAUGGCAUGGAGCGCCCGAAGCUUUGUGAUACGCUUUCUAAGAGUCGAGUUGUUUGGGAAUGCAGCUCAAAAUGGGUGGUAAAUGCCAUCUAAGGCUAAAUAUUGGGGAGAGACCGAUAGCGAACAAGUACAGUGAUGGAAAGAUGAAAAGAACUUUGAAAAGAGAGUUAAACAGUACGUGAAAUUGCCAAAAGGGAAGGGUAGGAGGUCAGAGAUGCGGCCUGGGAUUCAGCCUUGCUUUUGCUUGGUGUUUUUCCCAGAUUGCAGGCCAACGUCGGUUUUGGGCACUGGAGAAGGGUAGGAGGAACGUGGCACCUCUCGGGGUGUGUUAUAGCCUCCUACUGGAUACAGCGACCGAGACCGAGGACAGCAGCGUACUCGCAAGAGCGGGCCUUCGGGCACC